AUUGAACGCUGGCGGCAGGCCUAACACAUGCAAGUCGAGCGGCAGCGGGAAAGUAGCUUGCUACUUUUGCCGGCGAGCGGCGGACGGGUGAGUAAUGCCUGGGAAAUUGCCCAGUCGAGGGGGAUAACAGUUGGAGACGACUGCUAAUACCGCAUACGCCCCACGGGGGAAAGCAGGGGACCUUCGGGCCUUGCACGAUUGGAUAUGCCCAGGUGGGAUUAGCUAGUUGGUGAGGUAAUGGCUCACCAAGGCGACGAUCCCUAGCUGGUCUGAGAGGAUGAUCCGCCACACUGGAACUGAGACACGGUCCAGACUCCUACGGGAGGCAGCAGUGGGGAAUAUUGCACAAUGGGGGAAACCCUGAUGCAGCCAUGCCGCGUGUGUGAAGAAGGCCUUCGGGUUGUAAAGCACUUUCAGCGAGGAGGAAAGGUUGAUGCCUAAUACGUAUCAACUGUGACGUUACUCGCAGAAGAAGCACCGGCUAACUCCGUGCCAGCCGCCGCCGUAACAC
rnacentral:rRNA from 1 species